rnacentral:rRNA from 1 species
UUGGGAAUCAUUGGCAAUGGGGGAAACCCUGACCAUGCGACGCCGCGUGGAGGACGAAAGAUCUAGGUCUGUAAACUCCUUUUGCACGGAAAGACUUAGGACGGUACCGUGCGAAUAAGCUCCGGCUAACUACGCGCCAGAAGCCGCGGAAAGCCGUAGGGAGCAAGCGUUGUCCGGAUUUCCUGGGCGUAAAGAGCGCGAAGGCGGUCGGUUAAGUGCGAAGAGAAAUCUCCAGGGCUCAACCCGGAG